GUUGCUCAGUGGUAGAGUACUUGCUUAGCAAGUGUGAGGACCUGGGUUCAAUCCCCAGC
rnacentral:tRNA from 1 species